CAGGAAGUGAGUGAAUUGAAUGAGGAAAUCCAGGAAAGCAGAACAUCAGACAGCAAGGAAGAGAGGGGAGCAGACAGGACAGAGCGCGAACACAGGAGAAGAUCUAGGGGAGGCCCACACAAGACAAACAUGGCAUAUUCCUCUCAAGCCAAAAGUAGUCCUUGCUAAACAUUACCUCUCAAAGAAAGUAAAGGUGCCACUUCUGACAUGUGCUGUGUACAUAAAUUGUUAAGCCCUGAUAUGUUCCUAUCACUGAAAGCAAUCAUACAGGCCGCGCUGACCAUUCCAGUUAGCAGCUGUGAGAGGUCUUUCAGUGUAUUAAGACGCCUACAAACCUGGUUUAGGAGCCCAAUGACCCAAGAUAGAAUGCAUCAUGACAAUGAUAUACAUACUAACACGCUGGGGAAAGAGUGAAGUCAUAGACAGGUUUGCACCUACAGUUUCAUUUUGUUUCAUUUCUAAUCUUGAUGGAUAGACUAACAUCCUGGUACUGUGUUAUAUAACUCACAAACAUUGUGAAUAUUUAGUUGGAGAAAGGGUUGCAUGCUCGUAUGUACAUGUGUGUAAAAUUGUGAAGUGUUGUUCCUACAGGAGUGUUGGAGGGUGUGUAUUUGUUUUUGUGUAAUUAAUUAGGUAGAAAUAUUGUCCUGUAGCUAAUUGACCUUGGAAUAUGUGAUUUAUUACCACACAUGCUAUAAAAUCAUUAUUUUCAAGCGUGUUUGGUGCCUGCGUUUGUAAAUAUUAUCUGCAAAAGUUGUCCCCUCUGCCCCCACUCUAAAUUAUAAUACAAGCCUAUUGCUAAUGUGAGUUCAUGCAGUUUGUGACCGAAAAAUUACAUAUUUACCUGAUUUGCUUGAUAUUAAUAGUUAACAAUUAUAUACUUAACAAAUAGUAAGACAUUUCUGUUCUAUUAAAUGCUGUGUUUCUGUAAAGGGAUGGUUUUCACUCUAGCUUCAUGCAGCUAAUCUGGGUGUAUGGUCACUAGAGAUGGCUUGAGUUGACAAAUGAGUUAAAGACUGCAUUCCAUAGAC
ensembl:lncRNA